GAGAUACUGUAUUAUAAGGCGUUCACAAGCAUAAAGCAGGGUUGGAUAAAGCCGUGUUUGCCAUGAAAUGAGUUUGUUGGCAGCAGAGAUACCAAUCUGAAUGGUGCAGGUUAAAGGCUGUAUUCUGGUGUGAGAGAAUUCCGCUGACUCAUGAGAGACAAGAUGGGGGAUUUUUCUGCAGCCGUUGCCACGUGGGAAAACAGAUCACUGUCAGUUGCUGAGGGCUUCUUUGUUGCUUUCUCUGGCAGAGGCACGUUUAUUUAUUACAGAAGAGGUUGGCUCUGAAAGGAUUCGUGCAAACUUUCUUCUGGAGAUGAAAACAUGUCAUCCCUCGCCUGUGCCAUCUACCAAAAACCCUUCAAAACCAAAAGCUAGUGACUGUCCUGGUGGACAGAUGUCAUCGCAAGCAGGCAUGGACCAUUGUGUUUGUUUUCCUCGCUAACCCUGCACGACUUUGAACCCACUCUGUAAAUAAAAGAGACAGGAGCACAAAACUCUUUACACUUCCUGCCUUCCUUCCCAGUGUGCUGACAUUUCAAAGCCCCAUAUGUUUCCCUCAACGAAAUUUCAUGAAAAUACAUAUUAAAAAAAGAUCUGCGACCAAUGUAUGCUUCUUCAUUUAGCUGUACACUUUAGAAAUAUUCUGCACUGAGCCACAAGCAGGAUAUAGUUUUAAUAAAUAUUUCCCAUUCAAAAAUGUACAACUGGUAGAGUUUCGAACACGUCAAACUCAAGAGUUGGAAUAGACAUUUGCCAGUUACCUCCCCAGCACGGAUUCUUCCCCUCUGAACUUUGAUCUUCCUUGUGGAUACACCCCUCUUCCAUUCUUACUGGGGGUCAAGAUGGAAUUGACCUGGCCCCCA